UAAGGUGCAUCUAGUGCAGUUAGUGAAGCCGCUUAGAACCUACUGCCCUAAAUGCCCCUUCCGGC
rnacentral:pre_miRNA from 1 species